GACAGAGGGUGCAAACGUUGUUCGGAAUUACUGGGCGUAAAGCGCGUGUAGGCUGCUCGGAAAGUCGGGUGUGAAAGCCCUGGGCUCAACCUAGGAAGUGCACUCGAAACUUCCGAGCUGGAGUGCUGGAGAGGAAGGCGGAAUUCUCGGUGUAGAGGUGAAAUUCGUAGAUAUCGAGAGGAACACCGGUGGUGAAGGCGGCCUUCUGGACAGCCACUGACGCUGAGACGCGAAAGCGUGGGGAGCAAACAGG
rnacentral:rRNA from 1 species